AACGAACGCUGGCGGCAUGCCUAACACAUGCAAGUCGAACGAAGCCUUCGGGCUUAGUGGCGCACGGGUGCGUAACGCGUGGGAAUCUGCCCUUGGGUUCGGAAUAACAGUUAGAAAUGACUGCUAAUACCGAAUGAUGUCUUCGGACCAAAGAUUUAUCGCCCAAGGAUGAGCCCGCGUCGGAUUAGCUAGUUGGUGAGGUAAAGGCUCACCAAGGCGACGAUCCGUAGCUGGUCUGAGAGGAUGAUCAGCCACACUGGGACUGAGACACGGCCCAGACUCCUACGGGAGGCAGCAGUGGGGAAUAUUGGACAAUGGGCGAAAGCCUGAUCCAGCAAUGCCGCGUGAGUGAUGAAGGCCUUAGGGUUGUAAAGCUCUUUUACCCGGGAUGAUAAUGACAGUACCGGGAGAAUAAGCCCCGGCUAACUCCGUGCCAGCAGCCGC
rnacentral:rRNA from 1 species